UUGGUUCCUGCCCUGAAACACAAUGCACAUACAGUUCCAGUGCGCCCGCGCGCGUACGCACACACACACACACACACACACACACACUGACAACUACAGUUUCUGUAUGCUUACGCUGAUUACUAUUUUUAUUGCAUUUCUUUUUAAGCACAGACGCCUUUAUCCAAAGCGACGUACAGUACAGUUACAGUAUACAGUCUGAGCAAGGGCUUUGCUCAAGGACCCAACAGCAGCAACCUGGCAGUGGAGGGUGACAGUAGAGACGGUGGCGGACUCUUCCUCUGAUCGGCCUCCUCCACCGGGUAAUGAGCAACGCCGCUGCCCCAUAAUGCACCUGUCAAUGCUACACGAGCAGCCACACUCUGAUGUCAUUCAGUCUGACAAAGACAGCCAAGAAAACUGCAGAGAUGAGAUGAGAUGAGAUGAGAUGAGAUGAGAUGAGAUGAGAUGAGGUGUUCUUUUAACGUUAUCUAUUUAUCUCUUUUGGCAUACAACAUUAUACAUUAUUACCAAAACAAAAAAAAAGUGUUUACAAUGUAAAGAAUUUCCAGUGAAUUCUGAAUUUUAGAAAUAUAAUAUGU